rnacentral:rRNA from 2 species
CAGCCGCCGCGGUAACACCAGCCCCUCGAGUGGUGGGGAUGAUUAUUGGGCCUAAAGCGUCCGUAGCCUGCCGUGUAAGUUUCCCGUUAAAUCCAGCGUCUUAAGCGUUGGACCGCGGGAAAUACUGUACGGCUAGAGAGUGGGAGAGGUCAGCGGUAUUCUGGGGGUAGGGGCGAAAUCCUUUGAUCCCAGGAGGACCACCAGUGGCGAAGGCUGCUGACUAGAACACGCCUGACGGUGAGGGACGAAAGCUGGGGUAGCGAAUCGGAUUAGAUACCCGAGUAGUCCCAGCCGUAAACGAUGCAGGCUAGGUGUUGGGUUGGCCACGAGCCACCCCAGUGCCGCAGGGAAGCCGUUAAGCAUGCCGCCUGGGAAGUACGGUCGCAAGAUUGAAACUUAAAGGAAUUGGCGGGGGAGCAC